AUUAAACUUUGGAAAUUGCUAGACAUCAGCAAGUACCCAUUUUAGUGCCACGAUUCAGUGCAGGUUCCUCGGCGACCAUAAACGAUUGGAAAGGAAGAGUGUUCCUCACUCACCACUGCAGAAAAAUCUCCAGUGUACACUCAGCACAGCGAAGACCAGGAACGGCCGAGAAGCCAUUAACGUCCAGCUGGCUCCAUUCUUCAUGG
rnacentral:lncRNA from 1 species